UACGUAGGGCGCAAGCGUUGUCCGGAAUUAUUGGGCGUAAAGAGCUCGUAGGCGGCUUGUUGCGUCGGAUGUGAAAGCCCGGGGCUUAACCCCGGGUCUGCAUUCGAUACGGGCAGGCUAGAGUGUGGUAGGGGAGAUCGGAAUUCCUGGUGUAGCGGUGAAAUGCGUAGAUAUCAGGAGGAACACCUGUGGCGAAGGCGGCCCUCGGGACGGAUACUGACGCUGAGACGCGAAAGCGUGGGGAGCAAACAGG
rnacentral:rRNA from 1 species